GACGAACGCUGGCGGCGUGCUUAACACAUGCAAGUCGAACGGAAAGGCCCUGCUUUUGUGGGGUGCUCGAGUGGCGAACGGGUGAGUAACACGUGAGUAACCUGCUCUUGACUUUGGGAUAACUUCAGGAAACUGGGGCUAAUACCGGAUAGGAGCUCCUGCUGCAUGGUGGGGGUUGGAAAGUUUCGGCGGUUGGGGAUGGACUCGCGGCUUAUCAGCUUGUUGGUGGGGUAGUGGCUUACGAAGGCUUUGACGGGUAGCCGGCCUGAGAGGGUGACCGGCCACAUUGGGACUGCGAUACGGCCCAGACUCCUACGGUAGGCAGCAGUGGGGAAUAUUGCACAAUGGGCGGAAGCCUGAUGCAGCAACGCCGCGUGCGGGAUGACGGCCUUCGGGUUGUAAACCGCUUUCGCCUGUGACGAAGCGUGAGUGACGGUAAUGGGUAAAGAAGCACCGGCUAACUACGUG
rnacentral:rRNA from 1 species